GAUGAACGCUGGCGGCGUGCCUAAUACAUGCAAGUCGAGCGAACAGACGAGGAGCUUGCUCCUCUGACGUUAGCGGCGGACGGGUGAGUAACACGUGGAUAACCUACCUAUAAGACUGGGAUAACUUCGGGAAACCGGAGCUAAUACCGGAUAAUAUAUUGAACCGCAUGGUUCAAUAGUGAAAGACGGUUUUGCUGUCACUUAUAGAUGGAUCCGCGCCGCAUUAGCUAGUUGGUAAGGUAACGGCUUACCAAGGCAACGAUGCGUAGCCGACCUGAGAGGGUGAUCGCCCACACUGUAACUGAGACACGGUCCAGAAUCCUACGGGAGGCAGCAGUAGGGAAUCUUCCGCAAUGGGCGAAAGCUUGACGGAGCAACGCCGCGUGAGUGAUGAAGGUCUUCGGAUCGUAAAACUCUGUUAUUAGGGAAGAACAAAUGUGUAAGUAACUAUGCACGUCUUGACGGUACCUAAUCAGAAAGCCACGGCUAACUACGUG
rnacentral:rRNA from 1 species